UAUACUUCUUCGAUACAAGACCGUAUAGACCAUAUAUACGUCUCCCAAAUCGUAGGCCCGUGUUAAUCGGCAUUCCAGUGACAGAUAACUGCCGAUUGUUCCCCUAAAUUCACUCCCCCAAAUCAAAAUUGCCGAUUUGAUAUGAUAGACACGGCCGAGAAGCAAGCGCGAGGAGGACAACGAUAUCCUUUUGAUAAGUGUCUACAAAGCAAAGAUUGUUUCGAAGACGAGAAAUGAGUUCAGCUGUUUGUAUAUGGUUGCAGAAAGAAGAAGGAGCGCCAGACUCAUUGAGAAUCCUUGGGUGUACAACUGACGAAACAAGCCCCAGUUUAUUAAUUUUAUUAAUUUUGAUGAAAAGGUUGGGAACUGGAUUUAGGAAGCAACCAAUAAAGUAAGCAAGUCACCACAAGUUCAAGCAAACAAAAUGAAAGCUGACAGAGAACUACAAGUGCAACUGAUUUUGUUGUAAAGAACUGAACUUUAGAUAUAAGAUCAGAAUGGGUGCCGGGGAACGUGAGCCAAGCUGCGGAACAUAGUGACGAAGAUGAUGACUUUGUUACUCCAGAGAGCAAUUUGGGAAAACUAAGCUUGCAUAUAAAAGGUUUAAUGUGAAAGAUGGAGAAAGUAGAAUUGGGAAACGAGAUAUUACAACAACAAAAAAAAGGAAUAGAGAAACGGAGAAGACUAAGAUUUCUAAUUUGGAUGCUGCAAACGGUGAGCGAGGUCGUAGAGAUGCAUUAAUUGGAGGCAGAGUUAAAAAAGGGAAGAAAAUUGAAACAACUGGUGAAGGAUAUCCUGCAGUAACGAGAUAUUUUAAAAUGACGGAGAUUGGAAGAGCGAUCUCACCUAAUAAAGAUGACAAAAUUAAAAAGGUGAGAUCGUAUAAGGAUAUAUUCAAAAAAAAUUCUCCCCGUCCAUCAUGACAGACAUCUUUAGGAACUUGGGUGACGAACAAAUCAGUGGGGUAAAGAAAACAAGCUUUGGGAAAUUACUAAAUUUCCAGAUCGUUUGCUAUGCUCACAAGAUAGGGUAUAAUAUAGUGGAAGCUUUCGAUGGUGAAGCCUGUGCGCUAGUUUUGGAAUGUGGGAUGAUAGAAAUCAGUGAUAUUGUUGUGAAACAUGUGAUUGGAUUGCUCAUUUGGAGUGUGCUGCUUACAAAAAGUGAAAAUGAUCAUAUUGUUCCUUAUGGGGACGUGAAGACUAUGUUGCGUAAAUUAUGUUUAAAAUUUGAAAGUAGACCAGUUUAUUUAUUUUAUU